UGGGGAAUAUUGCACAAUGGGGGGAACCCUGAUGCAGCAACGCCGCGUGAGUGAAGAAGGCAUUCGUGUCGUAAAACUCUGUAGUAGGGGAAGAAAGAAAUGACAGUACCCUAAAAGAAAGCCCCGGCUAACUACGUGCCAGCAGCCGCGGUAAUACGUAGGGGGCAAGCGUUAUCCGGAAUAACUGGGCGUAAAGGGUGCGCAGGUGGUUUAACAAGUUAGUGGUGAAAGGCAUAGGCUCAACCAAUGUAAGCCAUUAAAACUGUUUAACUUGAGUGCAGGAGAGGAAAGUGGAAUUCCUAGUGUAGCGGUGAAAUGCGUAGAUAUUAGGAGGAAUACCAGUGGCGAAGGCGACUUUCUGGACUGCAACUGACACUGAGGCACGAAAGCGUGGGGAGCAAACAGGAUUAGAUACCCUGGUAGUCCACGCCGUAAACGAUGAGUACUAGGUGUCGGGUGAAGAACUCGGUGCCGAAGUUAACACAUUAAGUACUCCGCCUGGGGAGUACGCUCGCAAGAGU
rnacentral:rRNA from 1 species